GACGUAGGAGGCGAGCGUUAUCCGGAUUCACUGGGCGUAAAGCGCAUGUAGGCGGUUGGACAAGUCGUGUGUUAAAGCCCCUGGCUCAACUGGGGGAGGUCAUGCGAGACUGUGCGACUUGAGGGCAAGAGAGGCACGUGGAACUCCCGGUGUAGCGGUGGAAUGCGUAGAGAUCGGGAAGAACACCAGUGGCGAAGGCGACGUGCUGGGUUGCACCUGACGCUGAGAUGCGAAAGCGUGGGGAGCGAACAGG
rnacentral:rRNA from 1 species